CCCUUGGGGGGGCUCCAAAUCUUCUCUACCGAGUCUGUUUAUCAGCCAAACUUUAGCUGACCUUUGGACUUGUUAAGCAAGUGGCUUGCAGCCUAGGCUGGGUGGGGGUGGGGGUGGGCUUUUCCACUGGCGGCCGGUUCAACUUUAGUCCAGAAAGAAGAAACUGCGCUUCGGGGGUUCAGGUCUGGCCCGGAAGGAAGCCAUGAGCCUUUCGGCACGGCAGGAGUUUCUGCCACAUCUCCCCCGGGACCCGGGGAGGAAGGAAGGAGGCGCAGGCCGCACCCAGACCUCCAGGCUGGGACCUGGCCCGUUGGGGAAGAGACUGCUCAGAUCCACACACAGUGGUAGCUCCCGGGGCAGAGGCCAUUUUGAACCUCGGUUCCCUCAUUUGUGAAAUAUACUCCUUAAUAGCCAGGAUGCAGGGAAGGUGUAAACAUUGAGGAGGACCACCUGUGCAAAGCUGGCUAACACUUGUGUUCUUUUCCGUCCGUGAAGAUGGGAGGCCAGUUCCCAGUGGUAAAAUCUAGCCCCGUGGAAGCUUAGGUUUCUCAGAACCAGGGACAGUGAGUUUGAAAGAACUGGACAAAGAAGGACAAAAAAAAAAAAAAAAAAUCAGGAGAGCAAAGGAACUUCUAAGCACAUUCUCUUAACUGCUUGCACUUUCAAACACAACAGAUUAGGAGGAAAUCGCGGUUGGGUCAGAGGUACAGAUGAAUAGUCACAAGGGAGGCCCGCAGCCCUCAUCUGCUACGCACAGGGUCAGACCUCCUGGUGAGCGGACUCCUGGUGAUUCUGAGUCAGGCUGCAAGGGUGAAGUUUCUGUGAAAGGCAGAGCCGCGGCCGGUACCGGAUCACCUGUGCUCAGAGUCUGGGAGAAGGAAGGGGUGGGUGCAUGCAUGGGAUCCCACCCAAGGAUAAACACCUAUCACUGUUUAUCUGAGAAAGGGGUUAUAAGUUCACAGAAGGGGGGGGGUAUUCAUUUCACCUUCUUGCUUUCUCAUUUGUUGUGACAUGUGACAGAUCCUUGCCUCUUGUGAUUCUGCCCAGUAUAACUCGCUCUGCCUUCCAGCUCCACUCGGGCAGAAUAAUGAAGUGUUCAGAGUAAAUGUCUCUCUGACUGAAA